rnacentral:rRNA from 1 species
ACUCCUACGGGAGGCAGCAGUGGGGAAUAUUGCACAAUGGGGGAAACCCUGAGUGCAGCCAUGCCGCGUGUGUGAAGAAGGCCUUCGGGUUGUAAAGCACUUUCAGUAGGGAGGAACGGUAGUGUAGUUAACACCUGCAUUAUUUGACGUUACCUACAGAAGAAGCACCGGCUAACUCCGUGCCAGCAGCCGCGGUAAUACGGAGGGUGCGAGCGUUAAUCGGAAUUACUGGGCGUAAAGCGCAUGCAGGCGGCCUGUUAAGUCAGAUGUGAAAGCCCGGGGCUUAACCUCGGAAUUGCAUUUGAAACUGGCAGGCUAGAGUCUUGUAGAGGGGGUAGAAUUUCAGGUGUAGCGGUGAAAAUGCGUAGAGAUCUGAAGGAAUACCAGUGGCGAAGGCGGCCCCCUGGACAAAGACUGACGCUCAGAUGCGAAAGCGUCGGGGAGCAAACAGGAUUAGAUACCCUGGUAG